AGCGGGAGGCGCCAUUUUGUAGCGAGGGAGGGAGGCUGGUCCUUGUGAUUACCCGGGAGGGAGCCGGGGUGACGAGCGCCAUUUUCCCCACAGGGGCGAGGAUGCGGCUUUGGUUCUCCCGGUGGGCUUGCCGGAGUGCGUUCUGCAGACCAGAAGGGCUUUGUCUGGCGAUUGCUGAAUGCUCAAUAGCAGCCUGCUGGGAGGGAAGUCGAAGGGAGAAAUAGGACAGAAAGAGAGACCUGACCUCUCCCUGGAGGCUCUCAGUGUCGGCCGAGGCCCUUGGUCUUGCUCUAGGGCUCUGCAUUCCCGAGAGCUGCUGUAUGCCGGGGAUUGGCUUCCAAGCCUGCCUGAGCUUCUCCAGUCGCCCGGGCAUCGCCAUGCGGUGGGAGGGUGAGCCUUCCUCUCCUGCUGAAAUUCCGGCGGCUUGGCAACCGGCCGGGGGGUCUUGGAUUCCUCGGGGAGACACCACUGAUGCUUUGUGGUUUCACGUAAUUUGGAUUUAAAAGUUGAAGGCGUCAGAAAUGGUGUCGCUACGGUCUUUUGUAUGUUCUUGUGUUGCGAACUAAUAAAGGAAAAGUCAAAAGGGUGGGAGAAGCAUUCAGUCUGGUUCCCUAAAGUUACUAAGAAUGGAUACAAAUUAGUUGUGGCCGUUGUGGUAAUGCUUCUUGUAGCUCUUAACCCAGCCCUUUCUAAACCUUUGGAUAUACUUACUAGUCAGUUCCGAAGGUACUCAGUACAAAUUUGCGUUGGCGCACCAGGCCGACUAAAGAUGAGGUGGGUGUAUUAGACUCAAAAUUUCUUAAGUCGGCCAGGCCAGGGGGUAGAAUUGAGCUACCAAGAGAAUGAGAGGCUACCCUGUUGUAACAGAUUUGGAUCCCGCUUAGAAAAACAGGGAGAAAGCUGGAUGAUGUUCAACUUAAUGUCUUGCAUUUCAGACGAUUAUCGAAUGGACGGGGAUAAAUAAAAACGAUGUUACAGAUAGCCCUCUAAGUGUGGAUAGUAAAUAUUUUGAUUUACAAUUAAGCCUACCUUGAGGUGCAGACCCUAACCAACGGAUAGUUGAGUAAUAGGGGCCUAGACGCCAAUGGAAAGAAAAUGGGACUUUAAGCUUUGUUUGAACAUAUAUUCUGUUAAUAAAGAAGUUUAAAUCA
rnacentral:antisense_RNA from 1 species